AAAAUUGCCUGCAUCUGAUCUUUCUGCAAUUACUGAAGAGAAUGGAGCGGGUAGAUCAUUAAGGAGUAGAAGAAAGUCCGUAAAUGCAAAUAGACUAGUAGAUGAGUCUGAAGUAGUAGCGGAUGAUGGGGAAUAUGUGCCUGAACAACCUAAUGAUUCUAUUACGCAAAUAGACUAGUUGAUGAGUCUAAAGUAGUAGCGGAUAAUGGGGAAUAUGUGCCUGAACAACCUAAUGAUUCUAUUACAAAUGGUAAUGAUGAGGAUCUUCUGGUGGAAAAUGAAUCACAAGGGAAAAAAGUACAGAAAAAGUCAAAGAGAACAGUUGCUGAGGAUGGAAAGCAAGUUAAAAAGAGUAAAAAGACCACUGAA
rnacentral:lncRNA from 1 species